rnacentral:rRNA from 1 species
CGCUGGCGGCGUGCCUAAUACAUGCAAGUCGAACGGUCUUUCUAUGGAAGCUUGCUCCACUGAGAAGAUAGUGGCGAACGGGUGAGUAACAACGUGGGUAACCUGCCCAUAAGAGGGGGGAUAACAUCCGGAAACGGGUGCUAAUACCGCAUAGUUUUCUUGAUCGCAUGAUUGAGAAAGGAAAGACGGCCUUUGUGCUGUCGCUUAUGGAUGGACCCGCGGCGUAUUAGUUAGUUGGUGAGGUAACGGCUCACCAAGACGAUGAUACGUAGCCGACCUGAGAGGGUGAUCGGCCACAUUGGGACUGAGACACGGCCCAAACUCCUACGGGAGGCAGCAGUAGGGAAUCUUCCGCAAUGGACGAAAGUCUGACGGAGCAACGCCGCGUGAGUGAAGAAGGUUUUCGGGAAUCGUAAAACUCUGUUGUCAGAGCAGAACAAGUUGGAGAGUAACUGCUCCAGCCUUGACGGUAUCUGACCAGAAAGCCACGGCUAACUACGUGCCAGCAGCAGC